CGAGGUCGUCGGUUACUUCCCUUAACAACCUCGAGGCAGCGCCAUGAUUGUCGCGCGGCAAGAUGCGUCGUCCACCUUUUCUUCCCUCUGUUCUCGUUUUCGUAAGAACCUGACGUAGCGAUACAGCCUCCGCUGGUUUUCUAAAGACGGCUUUUCAUUUAACCGCUUCGUAUCGCGAGGCGCGUCCCUUUCGCGGCUUGACUCGAGAGCCUGACAGAACGCUCGCCAACCAAAAGAACAGGCCUCCAUCGCAUAUUAUGUCGGCCUAACGCGCGUGACCUCCGCAUAAUGGAGGCCGAAUGUCCUCCCUUUCUCGAGCUGUACGUUCGGACAACUCUUGUAACGAGCUGCCUCUCGCAUCCCCGUCGGACUCUCGUUCUCGCGUAAUGGAAACACGGUGCCUGCUGGAUUUUAAUUACGAGAAAGAAGCAACUACUGGCGGUGAACCGCAUCUUCCUAGGCUCAACUUCGAGAUCAUUGUGACUUCCCGCGCCGGAAGCAUCAUCCAGAG
rnacentral:misc_RNA from 1 species